GAUGAACGCUAGCUACAGGCUUAACACAUGCAAGUCGAGGGGCAGCAUGGGGUCAGCUUGCUGACUCCGAUGGCGACCGGCGCACGGGUGAGUAACGCGUAUCCAACCUUCCCUAUACUAGGGGAUAGCCCGGCGAAAGUCGGAUUAAUACCCUAUGUUCUUCAUAGAUGGCAUCUGACGUGAAGCAAAGAUUGAUCGGUAUAGGAUGGGGAUGCGUCUGAUUAGGUUGUUGGCGGGGUAACGGCCCACCAAGCCAUCGAUCAGUAGGGGUUCUGAGAGGAAGGUCCCCCACAUUGGUACUGAGACACGGACCAAACUCC
rnacentral:rRNA from 1 species